rnacentral:rRNA from 1 species
AGUGAGCGCUGGCGGUAGGCCUAACACAUGCAAGUCGAACGGCAGCACAGUAAGAGCUUGCUCUUACGGGUGGCGAGUGGCGGACGGGUGAGGAAUACAUCGGAAUCUACUUUUUCGUGGGGGAUAACGUAGGGAAACUUACGCUAAUACCGCAUACGACCUACGGGUGAAAGCAGGGGAUCUUCGGACCUUGCGCGAUUGAAUGAGCCGAUGUCGGAUUAGCUAGUUGGCGGGGUAAAGGCCCACCAAGGCGACGAUCCGUAGCUGGUCUGAGAGGAUGAUCAGCCACACUGGAACUGAGACACGGUCCAGACUCCUACGGGAGGCAGCAGUGGGGAAUAUUGGACAAUGGGCGCAAGCCUGAUCCAGCCAUACCGCGUGGGUGAAGAAGGCCUUCGGGUUGUAAAGCCCUUUUGUUGGGAAAGAAAAGCAGCAGGUUAAUACCCCGCUGUUCUGACGGUACCCAAAGAAUAAGCACCGACUAACUUCGUG